rnacentral:piRNA from 1 species
UGAAGUCACGUAGGUGUUUAUCUUUCUGUA